GCAAAAGCUAACAACAAAAUAUUUAAAUUAUGAAAAAAAAAGAAAGAUGAAAAAGAAGAAAGAAGAGUCAUCGUCAUAAUCAUCCUCUCAUAUACACAAAUGAACAAAUGGAGAAAAAGAAAAAGAGAAGUCUAGACAAAGCUAUUUUGGUUUUUGAUGAGUCUUUUUUUUUCUUUAGUUGGUGGGGUUGCAUAUGAAUCCCAAAGCCUUGAUAGCAGCAACCCUAAGGAUGUACUGGUGUUAUACAACUACUACAAGAGUUCUGACAAUAAGACCAUGUCAUGACCCGAAACUCCCAUCGGGCUCGUGACAACCGUCGCAACGUCCCGAUAAGAACUCAUUACCCCGAAUACCGAUCGAAACCCCGUAAGGCUUAGCAUCAACAUCCGCAUCUCCCCGGUGAGCGACAGUUAUUAAAUCUCGCAUUUCAAGAAAUCAUAAGUUGUUUCCAACUCAAAACAAUAAAAUAUUAUUUUCUAGCUCAUAGGGGCAUUUUCGUCAUUUUUUUUUGAAAUUUCGAAAUCCGUAAAAAUGUAAUAUGUAAGUGGAAACACAUAUUUCAUUAUUUAAAUUAAAUUUUGAAGUUUAAAACAUUCGUUUAAAGUAAAAUUAUAGCUAUUUGAAUAUAAUAAAAAUAUUAAAUAAAAUAUUUUAUUUUCUUAAAACACAAUAUUUUCAAAGUCUUCCUAAAAUAACUUUUGUAGCGUAAAAGUAAAAUAAAUUUAUUCAUAUAGUAAUAAAGAUAAUUAAAGUAUGAAAUUUCAUUUACAGUGACACGUGGGCCCCCAACUAACCAAGAAGGUGUAGAGCUAUGAACCCUUACUUCCUAUGAUGCAACUCCGAGAUUAAUUCUCGUCUUAAUCAACUAUCAACAAACUGUCCUGAGCCUGAAAAAUGGAUAGGAAGAGGGGUGAGAUUAAAUAAUCUCAGUGAGUAAACAAUUACCAUCAAAAGCAUCUAAAGCCGAGUAGAUGGAGACAAUAUAAAAACGUUAUAUCUCAAUAAUGUUCAUAACCCAAAUUUCGUUUCAAUCUAUACCAAACAAUUUAUUUUCAUCAAAAUUUCUCGGCUUAUGAAUUUCUUAAACUUGGCCCCUACCAGAAUCAUUCUCGCGAGUACCCUCGUCAAGGUAUCCCAUUGAGACCGCCAAGGCUGUUAAAUGACCCAUACCCAUAAACAUGUUUUCACAUCUGACACAGUCGUUCCUUGGCGUUGGCUGAGUCUCACUCUCACGUGGUGGCCCGAACGUGAGGUGCACUCAAAUCUUACCUCAGGAGAUACUUCAUCCAACAUCUCCCCCCGGAGGUAAUUAUAUAAUUGGGUUACCGUACCCCUCUCAUAGGUAGUCAACGAAAACCCCCACCACUGCAGUGACCGUUUAAUAUACCACCAGACCCAAAAAAAUUCCAGUAGCAUAAUAUGGCGAAUAAAAUGUAAUUCAGUCUACUGAGACCAAUCCAAACCUAUUCAUAUAUUUCAUGCCAACCCUAAAAAUUUAGCCAUCAUGCUACCAUAAUGUCAUAAGCCACAAUUUCAAUAAUAUAUAAAAUCAUAAAUUUCAACACAGUUUUCAUAUACUCAAUUUUCCCAAAAUAAUAUUUGAUUUCAAAACCAAUAUAAAUCUCAUUUUUAUUAAAAAAAACAUUUUAAUUGGAAAACAUAAUAUUUUAUAAUUUAAACUCACCAUUCAAUAAAAGCAUCAAACAAGUAUAAUUACUCUAGAUAUUUAAGACGAUAAAUUGUCCACUCACAGUUCUAGGAGUCGAUGUACUCCUAAUCCCAGUCUUCAAGCACAAUUUUGGUACUUUUACCAGUGUAAUUUGCUCACCACCU
rnacentral:lncRNA from 1 species